UACGUAGGAUGCAAGCGUUGUCCGGAAUUAUUGGGCGUAAAGAGCGCGCAGGCGGUAUGACAAGUCAGAUGUGAAAGAGGCCGGCUUAACCGGCAAGGGUCAUUUGAAACUGUCAGACUAGAGUGCAGCAGAGGAUAGUGGAAUUCCCGGUGUAGCUGGUGAAAAUGCGUAGAUAUCGGGGAGGAACACCUGUGGCGAAAGGCGGCUCACUGGACCACAACUGACGCUGAUGCGCGAAAAGCUAGGGGGAGCAAAACAGG
rnacentral:rRNA from 1 species